rfam:Triticum aestivum genome assembly, contig: Triticum_aestivum_CS42_TGACv1_scaffold_129833_2BL
CAUGUACUCCCUCCGUCUCAAAAUUCCUGUCUUAGAUUUGUCUAGAUACGAGUCUAGAUACCCGUAUCUAGACAAAUCUAAGACAAGAAUUUUGGAACGGAUGUAUCUAACACUAAACGUAACUAGAUACAUCCGUAUUUAGACCAAUUUAAGACAAAAAUUUUGGGACGGAGGGAGUAGUAC